AGCGACGCCGCGUGCGGGACGAAGGCCUUCGGGUUGUAAACCGCUGUCAGAGGGGAUGAAAUGCAGGUGGUUCUCCCAUCUGUUUGACAUAGCCUCAGAGGAAGGACGGGCUAAGUUCGUGCCAGCAGCCGCGGUAAGACGAACCGUCCAAACGUUAUUCGGAAUUACUGGGCUUAAAGGGUGCGUAGGCGGCGCGGAAAGUUGGGUGUGAAAUCCCUCGGCUCAACCGAGGAACUGCGCUCAAUACUGCCGUGCUCGAGGGAGAUAGAGGAGAGCGGAACUUAGGGUGGAGCGGUGAAAUGCGUUGAUAUCCUAAGGAACACCGGUGGCGAAAGCGGCUCACUGGAUCUCUUCUGACGCUGAGGCACGAAAGCUAGGGUAGCAAACGGGAUUAGAUACCCCGGUAGUCCUAGCCGUAAACGAUGAGCACUGGAUUGAAGGGUCCUCCAUAGCCUUUCAGUCGCAACGAAAGCGUUAAGUGCUCCGCCUGGGGAGUAUGGUCGCAAGGCUG
rnacentral:rRNA from 1 species